rfam:Arthroderma gypseum CBS 118893 supercont1.5 genomic scaffold, whole genome shotgun sequence.
GGGCGUUUAGUUUAGUGGUAAAACACCCCAUUCGCAUUGGGGAGCUGGGGGUUCGAUUCCCCCAUCGUCCA